ACCGGCAGCUCAAGUGGUGGCCAUUUUUAUUGGGCCUAAAGCGUUCGUAGCCGGUUUGAUAAGUCUCUGGUGAAAUCCCGCAGCUUAACUGUGGGACUUGCUGGAGAUACUAUUAGACUUGAGGUCGGGAGAGGUUAGGGGUACUCCCAGGGUAGGGGUGAAAUGCUAUAAUCUUGGGAGGACCACCGGUGGCGAAGGCACCUAACUGGAAUGAUACUGACGGUGAGUAACGAAAGCCAGGGGCGCGAACAG
rnacentral:rRNA from 1 species